AGUGAAUAGAUACCCGGGUAGUCCACGCCGUAAACGAUGGGCACUAGGUGCUGGGGGGAGCGACCCCGUCAGUGCCGUAGCUAAACGCGAUAAGUGCCCCGCCUGGGGAGUACGGCCGCAAGGCUGAAACUCAAAGGAAUUGACGGGGGCCCGCACAAGCGGUGGAGCAUGUGGUUUAAAUUCGAAGCAACGCGAAGAACCUUACCUAGGUUUGACAUGCUGGUGAAAGCCUCUGGAAACAGGGGCCCUUCUUCGGAACACCAGCACAGGUGCUGCAUGGCUGUCGUCAGCUCGUGUCGUGAGAUGUUGGGUUAAGUCCCGCAACGAGCGCAACCCUUGCCCCGUGUUACUAACAGGUAAAGCUGAGGACUCUCGGGGGACUGCCGGCGUCAAGCCGGAGGAAGGUGGGGACGACGUCAAGUCAUCAUGGCCCUUACGCCUAGGGCGACACACGUGCUACAAUGGCCACGACAGAGGGCAGCAAAGCGGCAACGUGGAGCGAAUCCCAGAAACGUGGUCUAAGUUCGGAUUGUGGGCUGCAACUCGCCC
rnacentral:rRNA from 1 species